rnacentral:rRNA from 1 species
AUGGCCACAGGUGUGACGGUGUGCGUCACCGGCGCCGCCGGGUAUUGCGCCUCGUGGCUUGUGAAGCUCCUCCUCUUCCGUGGCUACGCCGUCCACGGCACCGUCCGCGACCUCUGUGAUAACAAGACUGCCCAUCUAAGGCGCUUAGAUAAUGCUGCUAGCAACCUCAAGCUUUUCAAGGCUGAUCUCCUUGACUAUGAUGCAAUGGCAUCUGCCAUUUCGGGAUGCCAGGGUGUUUUCCAUGUGGCGACUCCUGUUCCUUCAGGAGAAUUAACCGAUCCAGAGCUACAAAUGUUGGGCCCUGCUGUUACCGGCACCACGAACGUGCUCAAGGCCGCCUCCGCCGCAAAUGUCCGACGAGUGGUCGUCGUGUCAUCCAUGGUUGCUGUGGAGAUCAACCCCAAAGACUGGCCCCAAGGCAAGAUCAGAGACGAGAGCUGUUGGUCAGACACAGAAUUCUGUAGGAGCAAUGAGAGCUGGUACCCUGUUGCCAAGAUCGCGGCAGAAGCGGCGGCGCUGGAGUACGGGCGUGAAACCGGGCUCGACGUGGUGACACUGAACCCUGCACUGGUGUUUGGCCCCCUGCUCCAGCCGACCGUCAACGCGAGUAGCCAGUUCCUCAUCUACUUGCUCAAAGGAGGCCCUGAUCAGGUGAGGGACAAGCUGUGGCACAUCGUGGACGUCCGCGACGUCGCCGGCGCGCUGCUCCUGCUCUACGAGACACCCGGAGCCGCCGGCCGGCACAUCUGCGCGCCACACUUCAUCACCGUCAGGGAGCUGUUGCGUUUGCUCAAGAGCAUGUACCCUGGGUACCCCUACAUAUCUGAGGAGAGCAUAUAUGACAUGGAUCACCCGGCUCCUAUGACCUCCGAAAAGCUGGAGAAGCUGGGGUGGAGCCAGCGGCCGCUGAGGGACACGAUAGCAGACACCGUCGAGUUCUGCCGGGAGGCCGGGUUUCUUGAGGGCGCCGAUGGUGAUGACGUGCCCUGCCGCUUCCCUCCUCUUUUCAACAAUAUCUAG